rnacentral:lncRNA from 1 species
UUUUUUUUUUCAAGUCCACCCUCAAAAACCUAAUGUUUUUUUUGAAAAAAAAGAUUUUAUCUUUUAAUAUUAUAUUUUUUUUGUGAAUUAUGAUUUAUGAUUUUUUUUGUUGGGCUAUAUAUUAAUCUUAUGGAUUUUUUUUUUAAUUUCAAUAUUAAAUAUUAGAUCUGUUGGAAAUGAAACUUCAUAAUUUUUUUAAUUUAUUUUCUAUGAAUUUAUUUUGAUUUCAUAAUUUAAAUCGCUAGUUUAACAGGUUAACCCGAAUUGAUUCAUGAAUUUAAAAGACUAUGAGUUUUUUCCUAAUUUAUUUUAAUUUUAAUUUUAUAAUUGAUUUUAUUAAAAACAAACAAAUUACUAAUGAUUAGAGUUUUUUUUUUUUUAAAAAAAAUACCAUACCCAGAACACACGACUGUGAUCUAGUUCCUUGGAUUGAAUGUGGUAGUGUUAAAUUGUAAUAAGAAGGCAUAAUUUUGGAUAUGCUUGUGAGUAGAUUGUUUUUAAAAAUAUUUUUUAUUAAAAAUAUAUUAAAAUAAUACUUUUUAUUAUUUAAAAUUUAUUUUUUAUAUUAGAAUUUAAAAAAACUAAAAUUUUAAUUUAAAAUAAAAAAAUUUAAUUUUCAAUGCAAGUCUUAGUGCCUGUUUGAGAAUGUCAUGCAAACCGUGUUCUCAAAAUAUUGAUUUUUUUUUAUGAUUUCAAUUGUUUUGAUGUGUUGAUAUUAAAAAUAAUUUUUAAAAAAUAAAAAAAUAUUAUUUUAAUAUAUUUUUAAAUAAAAAACAUUUUAAACCGUAACCCUUCCAAAUAAACUCUUACUCGGCUUGUACAGUCAGCCAGUGUCCAUGUGUGAGCAAUGCAGAAAAAACUCAAAUUAAUUGACUUUUGGAAGUGAGCAACCUGUGCAGUGAGAGGAUAGGGGACCAUGCAGUGUUUAAUGCACACUGAACCUCCACCAGGAGUGUCAACAGCCUCCAGAUAAGCUGAUCGGUGGUUACCAGAAAAUAAAAAUCAUGGAAGAAGGGACAAAAUCUGCAUCUCAUUGGGUCAUUUUUGUAAAUAAAAAAUCUGAAUUCCUAAUCCAUCCUAGGGUUUUUAACUAUUUUUCUCCUCCUUUAUAGCAACGAGGACCCCAUGCGGAGCUGCGUCCUAUUAAGUAUCAAUUAACCCAUGCCCUCAAGAUUUUUAAGACGAUGGAAAGAAUUGAAAAGGCCGAGACAUGGGACAGAUGAAGCAUUAUUCAAUAACAUAGAAUGUAUGUGCGCUCAUGUGUGCUGGUCUUGACGUGCAUUUAAAAUAAUCCAUUAUUUCAUGGCACAUUCAAGUUGAACUGGUCAACAAACGUUGUGAGCAUAUGAAUGUUUUUGUUUGUUGUUUUUUAUUUGAAAAUAUAUUAAUUAAAAUUUAUUUUUGACAUAUCAAAAUAGUAAAAAAAAUCACCGUAAAUAUUCGAUUUAAUAAUUUUUCAAGCUAAAUAUAUUUUUAAAAUGCAUCAGAACACAGUUACAAAUAAAAAAAAUAAACUGUAACUUAAAAUUGUAUUUCAAAGUGGGGAGAAAAGAAUCAAGAAAAUGAAAGCAAAGAAGAAUUUGCAUAACUUGUAUUUGAUCUCUUAACAUUCAUGAUUACAAGUUACCACAAAGCAAGGAAGGAGAGCUUUGGGAUUUAGCAGAUACAGUUCCUCAAGUAGAUGUGAAUUUUGACCAGCUUUCCCAGCAAGUGAAUCAAAGCCUGAUUGACCUGCAAUUUCUUGAACAUUUUCCAAAGGCCUAUGAACCCUACCAGCAAUAACUCUACAUAGUAACAAAGCCUUUCUUACAUCUUGGUUAUCUUGACUUACUUCUACAGAUUCCAAGGCUCUUCCACUUGUGGAAGUAGUAAAAAUUCCGACCCCAAUGCCAUUGACAUCUUUGUCAGUGAACCCAUGUCUCAAAAUCUGGCAUACACCGCAUUUCUCCAUUCUACAAAGGCUAGAGGAGCCAUUCAGACCAAGAGAACAAGCAACAGUUGUGCCAUGGAACCUCAAAAGCUCAUUGCCGUCGGCGAGACAACGCGAAUGUUUCGUAGGCAGUUUGCUAGCUUUGAUUUUCACCAUUUCUCUAUGUUCUUCAAAUUGAACAAGGGUCAUUUGCAUGUUGUGGACCUUCAAAACCCUCUCUAUAGUAACACAGUUGUUCUCAGAUUGUAACCACCUUGUUCUGCAGAUUAAUUCUACUAUCCUCCUAGAUGAGUUCCCUUCCACAAGUUCAGUAACUGCAGAAGGAUAAUGACAAGUGGAUUCUAUUGGCCAAUUGAACUAAAAAAAUUAAAUAGAAAGGACUGCUUGCUUAUAAAAAAUUGAAACAGUACUGUCAAAGUAUAGUUAUAAUCAGCAAUAAGUUGAUAGAAAAGACAACACAACUGCAGCAAUCAUAACAAUGGCAGUGACAUUUCAGAAAACUGAAAUCUAUAAGACAAACUGACAAUAAUAUUCAAGAUUUUGACUUAAAAGGUCUCUAAAGUAGACCUGUUGUCAUAAUAACUCUAGAUUAUUUCUCUUGAUUUUCAUCAUAAGAAGAUGGAUUUGUGCAGAAGAAAACACAAAUGCAGGCACCCAAAUUUUCUGAAAACCAGCGUAUUAAGAUGAACCUUCAAACAUGUUGAUUUGAAUGACUUUCUAGAGAGAUAAGAUUGUUGUUAAAAAAAAGCAGGAAAAACUUGAUUAUACACAGAUUAAGAGACAGAAGUUGUUGGAUUGAGGCCUCUUACCAGCAUGGUUUGAAAGAUGAUGUGCCUCAAAAGCAUCCAACUCCUUAAAUUUUGCAUGACAUUUCUUGCAAACUAAAGAUGGAGAACCAUAAGAAUCUGCAUCAUGAGAGCUUUUAGGCUUGGAAGAUACACCGUUCCCAUUACAAUAUAUAGGAGAAUCACCAUGUUUCUUCCUUGAAUAGCUACAUGACCUUCUGGGGGACACAAUGUCAUGUCCUCUAGGACGAGGUGUCCGUAGCUUAAGGAUAUCCUCAAAGGACGAAUCACCCUUGUCACAACCUCUGCCACCCGUAAUCUUUAGUUCACAUUUAGUGUCACAAAGGACUACUUCAUGUGCUAUGGAGUUGAGAAAAUCAGUGCUUUCUAGAGAUCUUGGGCUGCUAGUUAGUGGCUUCUCUGUAUACCUCGUGCUCCCAUGAAUGAUCUCUCGUAGAUUUGACAAGGAUCUUGAACAUCCAGACUUGAUUGAGUUUCUUGUCUGAAUGUUGCUCAGAUCGCUCUUGGCCCUUGGAUCAUGCACGUCUGAUGGCUUUAGUUCGCACUUCAAUGAUUUCUUCACAGAGAACCAAAAUUUGGAAGGCAUCCCUUCUGUUUCUCCUCUUUUUAAUCUUUAUUUAGACUUCAAACUCCAAACACUUCUGACGAACUCCAUGAGAAAGCGAUUUCUGUAACGUUUGAAUUGCGAAAGAAAGAUGGACUGUCAAGGAAAGCCGGUUCUUACAAUGUUGUUUCUCUUUAGUGGACUCCUCGCCAUUACUACUAGCUAGUUUCCUUUCUAGGACCAACCACCAGCCACAAAGACAAUGACAAGUUAAGAAAGUGCCGGUGUAAAUUUUGAGGAUCCAUAUGACAACAAAUAAUGAGAGGUAACGUUUGGUGUAACAAUAUCCAUCUGAAAUAUUGAUCCAAUAAAAAAAUUUAAGAUGAUAGUAAAUAAAAACUCAAAGAUCAUUGAUUAGUAACUCAUUAUUAAAAAACAUUUAUAUUGUCUCCUCGUUUUUUUUUUUUUUUUGUCUCCACUCUCUCUUUCACUCAACAGUCAACAAAACACCCCGUGCAACCUCUUUUUUAUUGAUUUUUUCUUGUUUUCAUUUAUAUGGAUGAUAUUUUUCUCCUCUUUUUUUUUUUCAUUUAUCAGGGCUGAUAUUUUAUUUGUAAAUAUGAUUCUUUCUCUAAAGAGUUCUAUGUUUCCAGAUAUGAAAGAUUAUGACCUUUGAAUAAGAAUUUUAAAAUUAUAUCUUAUUAUUUGAAAAGGAUUGAUAUCUAUUAAUAUUGAUGAAAGACUAAAAUGUAACAUCCCAACAUCUGAAUAUGAAUUUUCUUUAUAAUAAAUCCAAAAACAACUUUUUUUUUUUCAGUUUGAAACAAAAUUAAACCAAUUUUAUUUAUUCAAUCUAAAUAGUCGACCAGUUCAUAUAGAUCUUCCUAAAACUUCAACUGGUCAAUAAAAUGGUCGACCAAUUCUAUUGAUCUAAUUAGACAAAAGUAAAUUUUACUGUUCAUUCUAUCUAAAAGGUAUAUCGAUUUGUUUGGCAAACUGAACACUAAGUGACAUUCAUAAUUUCCAUUAUGAUUUUAUACCGAUAAUUUCAUCUAACGGUUAAAACAUUCUCCCUUUCUCUAAAAUAUUUAUUUAUUUACUUUAUAUUUUUAUUUUUUGUAGUUAAUUCCUUCGUAAAAACAAUUUAUUAACUAUAAACUAAAAGAGGAGGGGUCUUAAUGUACCCCUCCUCACAAAGCACUAUUCAUUAGAAUAGUGCUUUGCUUUGCUUUUUUUUUUCAAUUGAUUUGCUGUUUUUUUUUUGUUUUAUUAAUUAAUAUUUUAUUAAUUUUAUUUUUUAAUAUUAGAUUUUUUCUAUUUAGUUAUCACACUUUCAUGACAUGGAUCACAGAUUUGACGGGUUAACCCAGUUGACUUAGAUUUCCUUUCAAUUUCAUCAUUUAAUAUUGAUUUGAUUGAGAAUCAAAUUUCAUGAUUUGUUUUGUUUACUUUUCAUUAGAUUAUCUUGGUCUUACAACACAAAAAUAAUGCUUAACGGAUUAACCUAAGUUAAUUCGAGUUGUUUUUUGUGUCUUUUAUUUAAUUGAUUUUUUUAAAUUGUAUCAUUCAAUAUUGGAUCGGUUGAGAAUUAAGCUUCAUAAUCUAUUUUGAUUUGCUUUUUAUGAGAAUAUCUUUACUUGAGUUGUUUUUUGUGUUUUUUAUUUAAUUGAUUUUUUUAAAAUUGUAUCAUUCAACAUUGGAUCGGUUGAGAAUUGAGUUUCAUAAUCUAUUUUGAUUUGCUUUUUAUGAGAAUAUAUUUGUCUUAAGAUCAAGGUUACGGGUUUUGACAUUUUAACCAUGAUUAAAUCAAGUUGUUUUUUUUUAUUUUCUUUCUAAGAGGUUAUAUUGGUCACAUUGUCUAUGUCACGAGUCAUUCAAGAUUGGACUUGCUUUUAAUUGGGUUGUCUCUAUCUUAUAAUCUAGGUCGCGAGUUAACCUAAAUGAUUCAUUUUUUUAUCUUCUUUUUAACUGACUUUUCCCCCCAAUUUCAUAAAUUAAUAUUGUGUUUAAUUAGGAAUAAUGCUUAACGGUUAACUCGGGUUAAAUUUUUAAUUAAGAUUUUUAUAAAUUUCAUCGUUCAACAUUAGGUCCGACAUGAACGAUUGAGAAUCAAGCUUUAUAAUUUGUUUUGACUUUCUCUAUAUAGGGUUAUCUCAGUCUCAAUACCAAAGUCACGGAUUUGACAGGUUAAAUCAGGUUAUUAGUUUUUAUUUUUUCUUUAAGAUUAUCUCAGUUUAAUGACUCGAGUCAUAGGUUUGGUGGAUUGACUCAAAUUGUUUUUUAUGUUCUUUUUUUAAUUGAAUUUUUUUAAUCUCUUCCUUUAAUAUAUAUAUAUAUAUAUAUAUAUAUAUAUAUAUAUAUAUAUUAGUGAAAAAUAUUAAGAUAGUAAUUUAUUUUGUAUCAUUUUGAUAUUAUUAAUAAAAUUAUGGUCUUUUUUUUAAAAAAAUUCUUAUAUAUUAUUUCACUUAUACUCCAAUCGUAUCAUUAUUAUUGGUGUUUUCGCAACAAAAAAAUUAAAUAAGAACAAAAAUAUUUUUAAAAAUCAAUUGUCAAAUUAUUAAGCAUUUUUGGAUUGCAAAUUUAAAAGACACAAAGGGACACAGUACUAGAAAAUUUAAUAUUUGUAAAAAAAAAUGAUUUUAAAAUAGUUAAAUAAAAUGGAUAAUUAAAAACGCAAAACGACUGGUAAAAAUGGAUGGAGGGAGUAUUAAGAUAACCUUUAAAUUAAUUGCGAUUAUUAGAUUGCGUGUAACAUUAUUAGAUUAGAUUCAUUAGAAUCAAUCAAAUCUCUAAUCAAUCUCCACUCUUUUCAACUUAACUUAUUUUAAUCAUUAAGAUUUAAAAACGUUACAUAUAAAUUAUAACUCGAUUCAAACAAAAAAACAAGGCUAAUAAAGGAAAAUAAGAAAUUGAUGUCAUAUUAAUUGAUUUAUUCAUUAUUUACAAAUUAGAAACUAUAUAAUAGUAAAACAAUUAUCAAUUAUGUGUUUAAAGUAAUCAUUAUUUCCUAGACAUAUAUAUUUGAGCUGGUGGAGUACAUUCUUAUUAAUUAUUGCACUCUAUUAUUUUCUUUCUAUUUUCUUAUUAUUUAGUUUUUACACAUCAAAAUUAAAUUGAGAGAAGGAAAAGGGGCGUAUUUGGAAUGGUUCCAUCAAGCUCAGGGGGUUUUGUAUUUAGUAUUAAUAUGCUGAUGAUUAAAAGUUUUUAUAAUAAUAUUAUUUAUUUCUUUAUGAAUAAUUAUAUAUUAAUUGUGCUAGUAUGCAAAGAAUUUAAAAUAGUUUGUACAGACCUCGGGGCAAUAGGCCCCCUCCUCUUCUCAUAUCCGCCUCUGGUCAGAUUUAACAAGGGACCUCUGAGGACAGGAAAGUUUGCAAUCCAUAUUAUAAAAGUGAAAACAUAGAAGCAUUUAUACUGUCUUCAUACUUCUUCUGGCUUCAGUUUCAGUACACACUCAGCAUUUCUAAUAUGAACAUCAUCACAUCCCUAAGUUGGAAUUAUCUAUCUCACAUUUCUAAAAUGAACAUCAAAAUACUUGGAGUAAUUUUCUGUCAAUUUUACUUUACAGUGGGGAUACGGAAUCUUUGGGAGGCCAACUUUUCUUGGCAUUUAAUCAACUUAUAAUUUGUUUAAGCGUAUUUAGUGAUUUCUAAGUAAACUUCCGAAUCAAGACCACACAGAAAAAGCAAAGCUUCCAUAUUCAUUUUCCUGUAGUCAACUCUCACACAAAAUUUCUCUAUAAAACCCCAUCAAUGAGGUCUUCUUCUAACCAACCUUGUUUCACAUUACUAGCCAUGAAGUUGCUAAAACUCUUCUUUGCUCUAUCUGCAACCAUAGCUACUGUUGCAGCUCUGCAGUCAGAUCAUUACAACGAAAACUCAAACACGCAAAGACAACUCUCAUUGUCUGAAAUUCAAGAAGCUGUAACUUCUUUACGAGGGGUUGGCCGCGUUCUUGCCCAGCAGAACCUGAUAGCCAAUUCGACAUGCAAUAAAUUGCCUCGCAUUUGUCGACUGAAGAGAAGUCCAGGGCCAGAUUGCUGCAAUAAGAAAUGCGUUGACGUUAAGACAGAUCGCUUCAACUGUGGAAUGUGUGGCUACAAGUGCAAGUACACUGAAACAUGCUGCAAAGGAAAGUGUGUGAACCCAUCAUUUGAUAAAAGACAUUGUGGUGGAUGCAAUAAGAAGUGCAAGAAAGGGGAAUUUUGUGUUUAUGGGAUGUGUAGCUAUGCAUGAAUGCGUCACAAACUGUGUAAUUCUCUGAUAUAGAGUAUAUUUCCUUUCAUGUUUCUGCAAGACCGAGUCUCUUUCUCUAAGGAACACCAUGGUUCUGUUGGCUUAAUGUAUAUUUCACACCAUCAAAUUGUGGGAGUGCUUGUGAUUUUACUAAUCGAAGUGUAAAUAUGGAGAAUUGCCAAAAGCAUAACCUUGAAAAUCUCAUACUUGGGAUCAAACAAUGUGAAUAUUGCCAGCAUGCAUAUAUGUCUCGUUAUUUGUAUUUAAUUGCUUUAAUUAUUUACUUAACAAAUGAUAUUCUUAACAUUAAUUUGUGGGAACUCCUGCUGUUUUGGACAAAACGAAAUUUGUAUUCAAAAUCAAUUACUUUUUGCAGAAAAUGUAUGAAAUGACGGUUGUUCAACACUAAAAAUGUAUACCUAGUCAACUCUCACAUGUUUUUGUUGCCUUUCUAAAGCGACUGUGGGCUAACGUGAUUGAAACUCUAUUUUUAAAAUAUUUAAAAAAUAAUUUUUUUUAUUGUUUUAAUGUACUAUAUCAAAAAUAAUAUUUUAAAAAUAAAAAAAAUAUUAUUUUAAUUUAUUUUUAAACAAAAAUUAUUUUAAAAAACAAUAUUACUCUCAAAGAAUCCAUGAUCUACUUUCACUGUAAUUUAAAUUAAACUUUGAUCUUCCCACUUUGUUCCAACAUUUAUGGGUGAAAUUGUCAACCUAAUUAAAAAUAAAUAAUAGAAAAUUGAUACUCAAUGAAUAACAAAUUAAAUUUGCAUUUCCUGAGCCUGAUCAAUGGUUUCGCAUGUCAGGUAUUUGUUUAGACUCUUGGUAAUUUUUGUUUUUUUUUUUAAACUGAAUAUUUUUCCAACUUCAUAAUUUAUUUUAGUUUACUUUCUAUGAGUUAUUCUAAUCUUAUAACCUGGGUCAUGGAUUUGACAAAUUAUCUCGAGUUGAUUUUAAUUAUUUUUUUCUAAUCUUUUUUUUUCUAAUUUCUUUAUCAAUUUCAUCUUUCAAUAUUGAGUUUAUUGAGAUUAGGUUUCAUAAUUUAUUUUGAUUUGUUUUAGAUGAGGUUAUUAUGGUUUCAUAACCCAAGUCGUGGAUUUAGAAAGUUGACCCGGGUUGAUCCAAUACAUUGUUAUCUCAAUGUUUAAAAAAAAUGGAUAUCGACUUGAAUUUUUUUUAGUCAACUAUAUUUUUACCGAUCGUUCAAGUUAUUUUGGAUCUGUCGAGUUGACUGUGUCAUGUUGAGAGAAAUCUUAUAUAAUUUAAAUUUUUCUUCAUGAGAAAUAUUUGCUAAGUGUGGGUGUUUCUUUUUACAUUAAAAGAAAUUAAUGAAGAAUAAAAUAAAAUAAGGAUAUUGCAUAUUGCAUCAUACCUUAUACUCGUUUUUUAAUGGUAAAAGAUGUUUUUGAAUUAAUUUAUGCAUCUAGUAAGAUUAAGUUUUAUAUAUGAAUGAUCUUAAAGUAUAUCUUUUAUAUUGGUUUGAUAUAUUUUAAAAACAAAUCUUCUAAUUUUAAAAAAAAUUUACAUUCUUAACUAUAAAAUCAACUCCACACUUGAGUGUAGUCAGGACCUUGUUGUUCAAUAAAAAGGUAUUAUAUUCAAACCCAAAACUAUGGAUGCAAUAUAGUAAUAUACCAUCUAGAUACAGAAUGCUUGAAAUAGUACUAAAAAUGCUUGGAAGAACUUGCUGUCAAUUUUACUUUACAAUAAUGGGGGUACAGAAUCAAUAGGAGGCCAACUUUUCUUCACAUUUAAUCAACUUAUUUCUUUAAAGUUUCAAGGUAUUUAGUGAUUUCUAAGUAAUCUCCUGGAUCAAAGAUCACACAGAAAAAGUUGGCUGCAAAUUCAUUUUCCUAUAGGCAGCUUUCACACACAAAUUUAUCCAUAAGGCCCCAUCAGUAAGAUUUUCUUCCACCAACCUGGCUUCAUUUUAGUGGCCAUGAAGUUGCUAAAACUCUUCUUUGCUCUAUCUGCAACCAUAGCUACUGUUGCAGCUCUGCAUUCAGAUCAUUACAGCGAAAACUCAAACAUGCAAAGACAACUCUCACUGUGUGAAAUUCAAGAAGCUGUAACUUCUUUACGAGGGGUUGGCCGCGUUCUUGCCCAGCAGAACACGAUAGCCAAUUCGACAUGCAAUAAAUUGCCUCGCAUUUGUCGACUGAAGAGAAUUCCAGGGCCAGAUUGCUGCAAUGAGAAAUGUGUUGACGUUAAUACGUAUCGCUUCAACUGUGGAAUGUGAGGUACAAGUGCAAGUACACUGAAUCAUGCUGCAAAGGAAAGUGUGUGAACACAUGAUCAUUUGAUAAAAUUAAGACAUUGUGGUGGAUGCAAUAAGAAGUGCAAGAAAGGGAAAUUUUGUGUUUAUGGGAUGUGUAGCUAUGCAUGAUUGCUUCACAAACUGUAUCAUUUUCAGUUUAAUUUGAUGAAUAACCAUUGUAAUCCACAUGCACAAACGAGUGUGACUGGACUAUUAAGCUUCCGACUGGCAAGGAUAUAGGUAAAUGUUGUUGCCAUACUGAGCUGAGCGUAAUAGGUGGCUCGACAUCUGCAACUCCUUGAGUUUGCAGGUUUUACACAUUCCAACAAAGUUCUUUGUGGCCAUAACAAGAUUCAAGGUUUGCUUUCACUCAGUGUGGAGUGUCCAGAGGUCGUAGACUUCAGCGUGUGCCAAUAAAAAAUGGUUGAGGUCUAGUCCAUGUUAAUUCCUUGAUGCCUCCAUAUAUAAUUCCUGUUCUUGGAAUCUAUGUGCAUUUUACUUCGUUCCAUCAUUUAUGAAUCUAUUUUUGGUCAAAUUAAAUUAAGGAAAAAGAGAUGGGAUACUUAAUGUGUAGUUAAAGGUGCAUUUCCUGAGACCUGAUUCAAUGGUUUAGCAUGCCAGGUACUUGCUUAAACUCUAGGUAAAGGCCAUAAGGAAGAUAUUAUACUGAGGUCAAACUAGGUGGUGCUUAGGGAAGCUACACAGCAACAACAACAAGAACUUGCUUCAUGAUGCAAAUUAGUAUAUCGGAGGAGGAGUAUUUACUGCCUAUAGCUACAGAAGUCAGGCUUCAUUUCUUUCAGCCACGGCCUCACGGGUUAUUGGCAGUUAGUGAAGGAGAGAUUGGUGUGGAGUAAAAGAAAAAUAAUGCUCUAGAAUAUUGCAUUAGACCUUUACUAUAUUGAUAUGCUCACACACCGGAAGGUCUCCUUUGUAACACGUGUGUGUGUGUGUAUCACAAGCUUGAAGAGUGGCAUAACAGCUUACAAGGAAUACGCUAUACUAGCUAUUUGAUCUGUAUUUUACUACGGUUCAAUUUUUUUAAAAAAAAAUUAUAUAUAUAAAUUUUUUGAUGUGUUUUGUAUAUAAAAAAAUUUCAAAAGAAAUUUUAAAAAUAUAUGCAUGCAUCUAAUUAAAUAAAUUAAGAACUAUUUAUGCGACAAAAAAAAUUAUGGCACGGGGUCCUUACCCAACCAAAAUUAAUUAAUCAAACUCGUGACCCAGGUCAAGAAAUCAAUUGGGUUCAAUAAUUUUUUUAUAAUUUUUUUAUCUAAAUAAACACCUAUAAAAUUAAAAACCAAUUAAAUAUCAAGGUGAUUGAAAAAAAAUCAAAUUGAAACAAAUUAUGUCGUCAAAUUAAUAAUUAACUAAAUAUUAAAUAAUGAAAUUAAAAAAAAAUUUAAAAAAAAAUCCAAUUGUAAUGGAUAAAAAAAAAGGCUCAAUAGCCCGAGCAAGUGGACAUGAAACAAUUCACGUGCUUGGGUUUUAUUUUUUUCUAUUUUUCUUAAGGGGUGGACGAUAAGUCGCCCGCCACUUAAUUCUUUAAAAAAACAAAAUAUUAGGUUAUGCAUCGUCUAUUCUACCCAAAUUUCAGUGACCUCCAUUUGACAAAAAAUCAAGCAAGUCUAUUUCAGACAAAGAAAAACUCACUUUCAACCAUAUUUUGAUCUUAAAAAACUAAAAAACAAACAUCCCAAACACUUUGAAGAAUAUAUUUAUAGCCUCACCGGAAAUCAAAAUUCUUUUUGGAUUCAUAUCUACUAUUUCAGUAAGUUUAAGGAAAAAAAGCACCUUGAAUAAACUCUUCCCGUAAAAAAAAUCAUUGACACCGAAAUCACCAGUUUCCGUGGCCUGAAUUGAAUCCAAUCGAAAUUUUCUUUUUCUAUCACUGAAAUCCAACCACUUUCUCUCUCAUUUCUCAAAUUAGGACCAGAAUAAAAAAAAUUAAAAUUAAAUUUGAAUUUCAUUUAGGGACUGACAAUUUAUAAUUUAAAAAAUUAAACGACCAAAAUAUAUGCUUAGCCCCAAAUUUAGAAAAACCCUUUCAUGUAAGUUUAAGGGAAAUAAACACCUUGAAUAAACUCUUCCCAUAAAAAAAAGAAUUUAUUAAUACUAAAAUCACGCAUUUUCGUGGCCUGAAUCAAAUCCAACCAAAACUUUCUCUUUCUAUCACUAAAAUCCAACCACUUUUUCUCUGAUUUCUAAAACUAGGACUAGAAUAAAAAAAAAUUAAAAUUAAAUUUGAAUUUCAUAAAUUGUUAGUGACUGAUAAUUUAUAAUUUAAAAAAUUAGAGGAUCAAAAUAUAUGCUUACCCCUAAAUUUAGAAAAACCAGUCUUUUUUUGCCACAUUUUUUAGUGUAAUCCCCUAUCUAUGAAUCUUGUCUUUCCUUAAUCAAUGUGCUUUAAUUGACAAUCAAUUUAGCCUAUAAGGAUGUGAUGGGAAAAAAAGAAGAAGAAAAAGGACUAAAAAGGAGAAUAAUAUUUUCCCCACGUCUUUUACUGUAUUUCUUAAUUCUUAAUAAUUAAUUAAUAAUGUUUACAAAGCAACAGUUCAGAAGUGAAAGUAUGCGGAGCCAAGGGCAGAGAAGUAUAACUUCUACCCAUGCCGUGUCCUCGGAGGCACUCUAGACCAAUUACUUGAGAACGAUCCACAAGGAGGUUCACCUGAGAAAGAAAGCAUGCCCUUAGCAACAGCGAGUUCAAUAAACACUGGAUUUCACCAUAUGGUUAAGAAGGAGAGACAGUGGAAUAUACCUUUGGACCAUAUCUUUUGAUAAACCACUCUGCAGUUUUAGCAUUUGAUGCUUCAAACAUGGUCAUUCCGAGACCUAGUCGUCCGGCGACCGUUGCAAUUACAUCUUGCAGUUGUCAUCUGCAUCAAUCAUUAUAAUCUGCCCCAGCUUCUAAGCACCUCUGGGCCAUUCUGAUCAGGAGAUUAGCAUCUUCAACCAUUUCUGCGCAACAAAGAUAUACCUUGUAAGUUCAGAUGCAAUUGUCCUGAAGAAUUUACAUUUCUGUUAUAGGCAAAUUCAUUAAUCUCUGGCUCAAGCAUCCUUAAAAGACCGCAUGUGUCUCUGAAUUCAGGUGCUUCAUCAUCUUCUUGUCACCUGAACCCCAAUCUACUAGGGGAUACACUAGUCUUUUAUCCAUAAUUGUUUGAACAUGUGUGUUUUGAUGAAUGAACAUUAACUAAAUAUUCUCGUCCAUUUUCUCCCAAAUUAGCAUAAUUUCUUUCCACCAUCUAGAUCUCUCAGAUGCUAGUUGUAGGGUUUCCACAUGCAUAGUGUUCCAUACUUCUUUAUAUCUGAAUGAAGCCAAUUUAUGAAAGAAAGAUUGAUAUCAAAACUGUCAAUGGUAUGCAACUGCAGAACAUGUGAACAUGUGCAUGCGCGUAGCUGUAAUUGCUUAUAAAUUAAGCUUAGAGCAUUGACUGAUUGGAGUAUCUCAUCAGAAUCAAUAAUCCGAUUUCAGUCAACAGUUUAACCUAUGCUAUGAUACCGACAACCUUAAUAUGAUCAUUAGCAACAAUAAUCAUUCAGUUGACAUCAAAUGCUUGUCAUGUUCUAUCAAAAGCAUCCUGCAUUACAUUUCCAAUUAGUCGGAGGGAAAGAUUCCAAAAAUAUAUCUUAGACAUUUUUAUAUUCAUGGAUCGAUUAUCCAUUUGAGCUUUAUCUAAUCAUAGUCCAGCCUCUAUGUCCUGUGAAUGUGAUUAGCAACGUAUGACUUAGAGUUAAGGAUACACCAUAUUCCUGAGUUCAUCAAUCAUCAUGCUAGAUUCAUAUCUCUCCAUUUUCAAGCAAUAUGUAACCAUAGCAAACAAACACCAAGACAGGUGCUGCUUCCUUACCAGUGCUUCGAGGUGCUGAGGGAUCUUUACGAAGCAAAUGCUCAGCCCAAUCACCAGUACUAACAUACACAUCAUGCUUGUGAGCCAUGUCAAUCACUUCUUUAAUAGAAGACUUUGGCAUUAAACUAUGAGAACCACCGGAGAAUUUCAGUCCAUCAACAAACUGCCCCAUUGUCUCGAAAACAUCCUGCCAAGCAUUAUACGAGUGUGCACAUGCACAAGUAAGAAGCAAAUAAAGACUCAAAUUCAAUCAAUCCGCAUUAAGCUUCUUUGAUAUUACACCACAAUUCCACAAAUUUACUUGAAGACUCCUUAACGUUCUAAAUCGAAUAGCCCAUUUUCUUACCUAUAAUUAUCCGAAAUAAUAAAUAAAUAAAUCACAGAACAUUCUUUGAAAACGCCAUUGCAGAAACAAUCUUUAGAUCAAAUUAUAACAAAAGGCUCGAAACUCGUAUUAAGUUCUUAACUUGCAAAAUUUCUCUGUACAUUUCCCACUUUUGAAGUUACUAGCUAGACUUGGUAAUUUCAACCUAUUAAUUUCUCUAUACAUGUCCCACUUGGUAACUUUACUUGGGUCAUUCAAGAAACACUUCAAAUAAUUAUCCUUUAUCUCCUUAAACUUAACACAUCCCCCACCCCACUGUGAAGAAAGGAAAAAAAAACGAGAGAGCGCGGCAUCAUCUAAGCAUUAAUUUACCAAAAACACAGCAUUGUAUUAAACUACAUCAAAUACAUGGUGAUUCCUAGCAAAACACACACACAGCUAGAAUUUUAUUCCUCUAAAGUUGGUCAAUAAUUAGUUAGUCCACUAAAUGGCAAGAUGGGCAUCCACCAAAAUCAACAAAGAAACCAUGUUUGUAAGUUAAAGGCGUGAAAACAUGUUCUUUAUACAUACUUGAAGCAUGUUCUGGCUCAAUAGAGUGUAUUGAGGCCCUCUCAUCUGUGUAACUCCAAAUCUACGAGGCUUCUCUUGUCGAUCUCCAUCUUCCUCGAAGCUUUUCCAUCGGUAAUAUACUGAGGAUGGUGACAUCUUUUCCUUUCCUUUCCUUUAUCUUGAUUGUUAAUAUGCCAAGGAAAGCGUGUUUGCUUUCUUACAAUGAUUUUGAUUUUCGGAUACAGGAUAGUGAUGAUGAUUCUCAUUGGAGAAAUGUCCAGCUUCUUCUAGAGAAUUUGUCCAACAAUAUUUUGCUCUACAGAGACUGAAGUCUUGACAAGUGUAGCUUCUGAUGUUACUGCAAUCCAUGUCUUGACUCUUGACCAGUGUAGCUUCUUCUAAAGUUGACUGGAUUUUGAUUUUUGUUUUCCUCCAUGAGAGGUGAAAACAUAGAUACCAUAUACUCACCCGGGAUUUCAUCUGGUUAAAAACAGUUGGUUGGGUUAAUUUGUGAGUUAUAAAUCAAUUCAGUAUAUUUUAAAACAAUAUUUUUUAUUUUUUAAAUGAAAUAAUUUUAAAUAAAAAAGUAAAAUAUAAAAUAAAACAAAGAUAUAUAGCUCAUUGUAUGGAUUGUGAAGGACAUCAAAAAAACUGAAGAUUAAUUCUCAUUCUCUAUUUGUCUGCUCUACUCUCUUCCUCUGCUAUUUCCAUUUUUGUUUCUCUUCUUCUAUCUUCUCCGCUUGUUAAGCUGAUAGUAACAAUUGGUAUCAAAAACUUAAGACAUAACACCAUGGUGGAAAAUCAUAAAUUGAAGAACGUUGAAAAACAGUGUAAGAAAUUGGAGGAGAAAAUACAGAUCCUUCAACAAGAAUUUUAAGAAUCCUUGGUCGAUCAACAAAAUAAAUGGCAAGAACAAUUUGUUGAAUAAAACAAGAGAACUAAUCAGAUUAGUGCACAAAUUUAGUUUUAAAACAAACAAGGUUAAGAAAUUACCAAAUCAACUUGUCAAACAAAUUUAGAUUUGAUAACUAUAGUUUUAAUAUCAAUAUUUUUUUUCAUUAUAAUUACAUAGAGAGGGUUCUUUUUAUGUAAUUUAAAAUAUAUUAAAUCUUUCAUUGAAUCAAAAUAAGAAUGAUAACUUCUUAAAUAAUUGCACUACGCUACGGAUUAGAUAAAAAAAAUUAAAAGUGAUAAAAAAUAUCUAAAUCAUAAAGAAUUAUUUGGUAUUGUUAUUAAACUUUUCUUAUUAGUGGAUCAAUCUUAAAACCUCUCAACUCGACUCCUCAUGUAACACUAGUUUAAAAUUAAAUCGUAAGAAAGUUGUCUCAAUACGACCCGAUCAACUUGACAAGUCCAAAUGCAACAUAGAUGACCAAUAGAAAGGAUGGUUUGGCCUUGGAAAAAACUCAAGAUAGCAUCUUUUGUUUAAUAUUAAAACAACGACAUAUUAAAUCAAAAUUGAACCCGAUCUACAUUUUCCACGGUGUUUAAAGAGAAAAAUCACACCCAUUGAAAUCCUCUUAAAAAGAGUAAUUUAUCAACACAAAUAUCCUCUUUUCUAGUGUUCACAAACUAACAACUAUAUUUUUUUUCAAUGAGUUUUUUUUUUGUAAUUUAAAAUUGAAAAAUAAAUAAAAUAAACUUUUGAAUGAAGAUAAAAAAAAAAUUGUUAAUGUGGUGUUAACCAUAAAUUUUCUUCUUAUUUUAUAUUUCAUUCCUCUAUCUCUAAAUGUUGUAUUUUUAUCCUAAUUUCAAGUCUAACAUCUUUUAAUUAGGCUAUAGAAGGGCUUGAUUGGAAAAAAAAAUCCAACAGGUUGACUUGGAACUUGAUUAACUUAGGACUUGGACCGAAUUGAGUCGAAGAAAAAAUAAAAAAAGAAAACAAUUUGACUAGCUUUGUUAAAAACCUGAUGAACCCACUAGCUUGGUUUAUUCGGCAUCACUUGAUCAUCUAUUGAUUUUAAAAAAAAAAAUUGAUUAAAAUAAUAUUAUUUUAAUUAUUUAAAAAAAAAUAAAGGUAAACCCAGAUUGAUCGGUUCAGCCCUUAUAAGCCAUGACUUAAUCCUAUCCUGUUUGGCUUCUUACAACUAUGUUUGUACCAAUGAGGUUGCUUAUAAUUCCUUGUCUAAGGAAAACUAAAAGAAAAAAUAGUUUUCUCUUGCAUCAAGGGCUUUAAGACCAUGAGGAAAAAGCCCAAAUAGCAAUCGGUUGGCUUGUCGAGGGAAAGGCUAUUUUAAAAAAAAUGAGUAAAUUUCAUUUUUACUCCAAUAGAUUCAUCAACUUUCCUCCUUCACCCAUAAAGUUUAAUAUUUUUCAAUGUUACCACUAUGGUCCUACAAAUCUAUAGCUACACCCUGAUCUUUUGAUUAGCUAUUAAAGCUCACCAUUUUUCAUUUAUCCUCGAAAUAGGUGAUAUUGUUUCAAAAAGAUACUUCAAAAUAAAAAAUAAAAAAUAUCGAAAGGUGGGUUAAUCAUUUUAAUUUAAUUAUCAAGGAUGAAAUUGAAACUAUUCAUAAUUGUGCAAUUAACAUUAAUAGAUUCUAAAUUAUAAGAGUAAAAAAGUCGAAAUAAACCAAUCUAAAUUACAAAAAUAUAGUUGGCCCAAAAAAAAGUUGACCUUGUAAAUAAUAGGAUACAAUACUCUUGGUGUACAUACCAAAUUUUCCACGUUCUUGUAGGCUAUCAAAUCCCACAUGAAUGAGGGGCUUUUUACCUUUGGUUAGAUAAGUAUUUAUAGCAUUGUAUGAGUUAAGAUUUAGGAAUGUGCCGAUGUAAUUAAGGGAAUAAUUUCAAUUUUGAGGUAGGAUCUCUGCUUGGGUGUUCAUGAACGUCAAUGUUACAACCUUGCUGGUGAUACCUCAAACCAGUGAUAUAAGACUCGGCUGGCCUGGCCAGCAAAUUCGAUGACCCAUUGAUCUCGAGCUUAAUCGAUCCUUAUUCUUUAAAUUUUCCUUGUCUCCCAUGAAAGGAAUCAGAAUUUAGAAAAGAAGCACCAAAAGAAAGAAGAAAAAUGUCAAGACGAAAAAAGGUAUUGACUCGUAAUUCACAGCUAAUCUAAUAUCAUUUCCUUUAUUGAUGAUCUCAACUUUAUUCUUAUUCUGUCUUUCGUGAAGCUUGCUUAAAAAGAAAGACAAAUUCCCUAUAAAGAUUUCCCUAGCCUACCUUCUCCUUGUUCACAGCCUUCUAUAGAACUGUUACCUCUGGUCAAUUUGGAAAAGAAAAAUGGCUAAAAAUCAUGGUAUUUUGGUUUGUCUCCUAAUCAUAGCACUGGAUGUUGUUGCUGGCAUACUUGGGAUUGAAGCUGAUAUGGCUCAAAACAAGGUAAACCAGUUAUGAAUUGAAUGUCUUCAGCUUUUGGUUGCAGAUCAUUUCAUUUGGAUCUUGAUUUGUUGAUGGCAGGUGAAGCAUUUAAAGAUGUGGGUUUUUGAGUGUAGAGACCCGAGCUAUCAAGCUUUCAAGCUAGGUUUGGCUGCAAUAUUAUUUCUUCCCCUUGCUCAUAUCAUUGCUAACUUGCUUGGUGGAUGCACUUGCAUGUGGUCCAAGGAAGAUUUCGGAAAGGCAUCCGCUACUAGGAAGCUAGCUGUAGCUUCUCUUUUCUUCUCAUGGUAUUUACUAUCAAAACAACACUGCAAACAAAAACUUGAUUCAAUCUGACAUGCAUAUACUGCUGUUUUGGGCAAAUCAGGAUCAUACUGGCCAUUGGGUUCACAAUGCUGGUCAUAGGGACAAUGGCAAACUCAAAAUCAAGAAAAUCAUGUGGAUUAUCGUAUCAUCACAUUCUCUCCAUCGGAGGCAUCCUGUGUUUCAUUCAUGGAAUCUUCGCAGUAGCCUAUUAUGUAUCUGCCACUGCUUCAGCCAGAGACCAUUCCCGGCAUCGAACCCCUGCUACUUCUCAAGCGUAGUCUUUUUUUCCAAUUUCCUUUCAUUUCAAUUGAUCCCAUCAUACUCUAAUCCUCCCCAUUAGGCAUACAAUCAUCAUCCAAGUUAUCAUGUAAAGGUUUUAAGCUCUUGCUUAAUUAGCUACCACUUGAUCAACUCCCUUCAAUGCUAAUGUGUAUUCUCAUUACUACUUACUGAAUAUCUCUUGCCAUCAAUCAUAUAGUACCCAACAAUGAAGUGAUCAAGGAAUUUCUCAACACAUAAAAAGGGCAGAAGAAGCAGCACAUUUCAUUUAAGAAAUCAACAAACUAGAACUACAUCAAAUCAAGAUCAAUUCAAUAAAAGGGGGGAAAAUGAGGGGCAAAUAAAACCUAAUUAAUCCUACUACUGCAACCUAAAUUCUUCUCAGUAUUUGCCUAAAAGGGCUUCUCUUUGUAACUUCACAAUGGACAAAGCCAAUUCUGCUUCGUCUCUCAUUCAUCAUCAACUGGACCUUUAGAAACCCUUUUCGGUAACAAAGUGUUGUGAAUAUUAGGCAAGACACCACCAUUAGCAAUUGUGACUUGGCCAAGCAGCCUGCUCAGCUCCUCAUCGUUCCUCACUGCCAACUGAAUGUGCCUCGGGACUAUCCUAGUCUUCUUGUUGUCUCUUGCUGCAUUCCCAGCCAGUUCUAACACCUACACAACAAAAAAAACACCCAAAAUUAAUUGAAGCAGAUAAAAGAAACGGUCCUGUUGUUGAGCAAAUGUAAAAUCAGGAUAAAGAAUCAUGAAAAAAAUACAAAAACACCCAGAAAGAUUUGAAUCCCAAUUAAUAAAUCAGAGCCAAAAGCUUCCACCAAAUUUUUUUAUUAUUUUCCCGAAUUCUUUUCAGUAACUAAACACCCUGUAAUUAAUGAAAAUCAACUAAUUGGCACAUUUAUUUUUAACAAAAUCACUAAAAAAAACCCCAAAAAACUUGAAAAACAAAGAACACCAAUGUACCCAAACUUCACAAAAAUCUACAAGAACAUUAAAUAUUCAUAUUCCCAAAUUUCACAAACUUUUCUCAGUACUCACUAACCCCAAAAAGAAAACCACAAAAAAUAGGCAAAGAGGAGGAAAGAAAACAAGGCUAGUUUUAUACCUCAGCAGCAAGAUACUCAAGAACAGCAGAGAGGUAGACAGGAGCACCAGCACCAACACGUUCGGCGUAUUUCCCAGUCUUCAGGAACCGAGCAAUACGUCCCACAGGGAACUGCAAACCCGCCUUGCUACUUCUCGAGGUUGCUUUCUUUGCUGCUCCGGACCCCAAAGCCUUUCCUCUUCCUGCCAUCUUCCCAAAAGAGACUUGAAAUCUACAAAGAAAUAGGGAUUUUUUAGUUUUUACGAAGAGUUAUUGAAUGCUAGAUGAUAGUUUUUUUUUUGGCGCCUGAUGGAAGCAAACAAUACUGGGUUUAUUAUAUAGGAAGGGAGAGUGAUUGUGAACCAAUCAAUGGGAAGGACGCGGAUUCUGAUCUUUGGCCGGUUGUUUGGAUCUUAUAGACGGUUGAGAUUGUAUGGUGAGGUUUAGUUUUGGAUCGUGGACUCAUGGUAUUUUUUAGAGGCGGGAAAUUUCACGGUAGUUGGGGGAGGAGAGCGAAUUUACGACAAUACCCAUGCUCUGUUUAAAAAUCUAAAAAAUGGUCUAGAAUAAUAAUAGUAAUGAUAAUUUCUUCUUUUUUUUGUGAAGAUUGUUGAUUUAAAUAAUAAAUAAAUAAAAAUUCAUUCUCUUAUUAGAUAUAAAUUUUAGGAGCUAAAUAGAGAGUAAACCCUCUUGAUUGAAAGUUAACCUCCUCACAAUUUGGUCCAAACAACCUCUGAACUCUUGUUCAAAUCCAAUGUAAUCCCCCACUUUUUAUUUUUCUAAUUCUAGCCCCUCAAAUUAUCAAUUCAAAGUAAUUAACUACGGAGACGGUCAUGACUCACGAGAACCUUUUCGGAAGCCUGUUUAUCUUUGCGAUGAUGUCAUAUUUUUAAAAAAAUUAUUAAAAAAUAUAUAUAUUGAUAUUAAAAAUAAUUUUUUAAAAAAAUUAUUUUAAUAUAUUUUUAAAUAAAAAUAUAUUUUAAAAUACAAUUACUUUCAAAAUACCAAACACUAUAUUAAACCAUUAAAAUAACCAUUACAACAAUUUAUUUUUAACAUUAACCGACAAUUACUUUGACCUAUAAUGUAAAUAACUAAAAUAAAAUCAGAAUAAUACAAGAUUAGAGGUUAACUUUUUUAGUGUUUUUUUUUAUAGUUUUAAUAUACUAAUUUUAAAAAUAAAUUUUAAAAAAAUAAAAAUAUAUAUUAUUUUAAUAUAUUUCUAAAAAUAAUAUUUUAAAAAAUAAUAAAUCAAAUACUACCUCAUUGGUGUUGAUGGGAGGAAAUGUUACUAAUAAUCAGGGCUUUCCCCCACCCCCAGAUAAUUUAAUACAUGAGGCUAUGGCCUUUGAGCAUGGACUCUUUUCUUGAGAGAAAUAUGGUCUUCAAAAAUGUUCGUUGACGUGCUUCUUUCCCAGAGUUAAAAUGUUAAAAAAAAAAAAAUAAGGGUGGGUGUUGAGGUUUUCUUUUUCAUUUAUUAUCUUACAAUUUUAUGUUUUAUUUAAAUAUUGUUUGAUAUUGUGGUAAUAGUUGUUUUUCAAAAUAUUUUUUACUUAAAAAUACAUCAAAUUAAUAUUUUUAAUUUUUUUAAAAAAUUUAUUUUUUAUAUCAAUACAUCAAAAUAAUCUAAAACAAACAAAAAAAAUCAUUUUAUUUCAAAAUCACAAAAAAAAAAAAACACUACCUUAGCUAGUCGGCAGACAUCAAUAAGCAUGCGUGGAGCUACAUAUAAGAUAAGGGGGCAAUUUCUCCCUUAAUUUUUAUAAAAAUCUCAUUUCAGUCUUUAAUAGUUCAAGGAUUUUCAAUUCACACCCCUCUUUUCUAGACAUUUGCUCCCUGUUUUUUUUUUUUUAAUCUUUCCCAUUACUCCAUGGAAUAUCUAUUAAAGAGUGAUUUGUUUAGAAUAAUUGUAUAUGAUUAUCUUUUGAAUGGACUAUUUAUUUUUUACAAUUUAAUUUAUUUUGAUAUAAUAUGUUUAAGGAUUAAAAAAAAAUUCUUUUUUAUAUGAAAACAAUCAUAAUAGGUUUUUUUAAUAAAAAAAAAUUGGUUGAAAAUCAUUAUUUGAGUAUAAAUUAAAAAUAGACAUCCUCACAUAAAAUUUACACAUCCAAGCAUAAAUCAAUAAUUUCGUUCAUAAAAACAUCCACACAAUAAAAAUCAAAACUUCCGCACAUAAAAAACAAAACAUUGUCCCAUGUAAUUAAAACAUUCAUAUAAAAAAGUUAAAUUAGGAUUUUAAUUUUUACCUAAUUUUAUUUUUCAGUAUUUAAUGAGCUUUAAAUACAUUGUUUGUCCUCUUUUAUAAAAAUAUUUUUUUCUUAAAUUAUCGUGAUUUUUUUUAUUUGGUCCAUUUUUUAUUGUUGUCUAUUUUUUAUUGAAAUAAAGCCAACUUAUUUGACUCAGUUGGGUUUAUGACCCGGGUUAUAAAUUUUUCUUUAUAUUUAAAAACACAUCUAUUGUCAAUGAGUUGUAUAUUCCUAAUUAGUUUGAAUCAAUUAUUUGAUUCUGUAAGAUUAUAGGCUCAUAAAAACAUUUUUAAAUAGUUUUCCAACACACACACAUCUGCUGUUAUAGAAACCAUAAUGAAUAAGAGAAUAUUACCAUCACCAAAUCUGAUAUGGUAUCAGAGCGGUCGAUUUUGACUGUGUCUUGCCCUAAUUUCAUAAAUCACUUUUGCAACAGCAAACAUAAGCUUCCUUCGCAGUAGCAGUGAUUUCACAGUAGCAGCCAUUAGCCACCCUUCACAACCACGGCUCAUUGUUCCCUCAGCCAAAUUACGCUAAACAAAUUACUCUAUUUGUUCUUCCUACUUCUUUCUCUCAUCACUUUAUAAGCCAAAAUUAUGGCAGAAGAUGAUGGUUCAACAAACACCAAUAAAUCCUUCUUGUCGGGAGACUCCAACACUGCCACACAAAUAGUCAUCACAUUGCAGAGUGACACCUCUAAUUUCUUUGCAUGAAUCAAACCGGAUGAGAAUAACUAUUCUCUAUGGCAUCAAAUUAUAAAGAUGAAGAUAGCUGAGCGAGAAAAACAUGGCCAACUGACCGGUGAUAGCACCCAACCUGCAGUCACAAAUCCCACAUUUAAUAAAUGGUGUGCAGCAGAUUGCCAAGUCAAGAGUUGGUUGUUUGACGCCAUGUAACCUAAUCAGAUUAAAAGGUUUAUUCGUUAUGACACAACAAAACAAGUCUGGGAUGCAAUCAAGCAAACUUAUUCAGAUGGGGCUGAUGAUGCUAAGAUUUACGACAUUCACAGUAGGUCAUUUAUAAUGAGACAAACGGGUGUUUCAGUUGCCAAAUAUUACAGUGAGCUCACUGAGAUUUUUCAGGAGCUUGAUCAAUUAAGUCCAAGCACCAUGGAGCAUCCGUCAGACAUUGAAACUAGACGAAAAGAAGUUGAUCGUCUCAGAGUUUAUAUAUUAAUUUCUUGCAGAUUUGGACAAUAAUUUUGAUCAAGUCCGAGGAGAGAUUUUGAGGGUGGAGCCAAAGCUAGAACUUGAGGCUGCAUAUGCAUAUAUUAAAAGAGAAAGUAACCGACAGGGAACCAUGUCUGAAGUUGUGUAACCUCCGAAGCCACAACUCUUGCCGCUGCCAAGUCCGAACAAUCUCGGCUGCAUAACUACAACGUCGACCAUGCUCGUAACAAACCUCCAAUGAAAUGUAUCAAAUGUGGUUUAGAUAAUCACACAAUUAAGGACUGUUAUAAGAUCAUUGGUUAUCUAGAAGGAUUGGUUCACAAAGGGCGUAAGAGGGACUCAAACCAAGCCUCAUUUUGCAUCUGCCCAGUCAUUAUAUGAGACUUCAUCAAAAAUCCCAUCAGGUACAGCUGACUUUAAGGCCUUUGCCACCUCAGGUAACUCUUGUACAUCCUCACUUACUGGUAAUAGAUCCUGGAUUUUUGACAUUAGUGCAACGGAUCACAUGACAUCUAGUUUUAUUGGGGUACACUCUGUCACACCUUUAAGCCAAAUACAUAUUGUUAGUGCCAAUGGCACCACCUCCCGAGUUACAGGAGAAGGGUCUUUAUCUCUUACAUCCUCAUUAAAUCUUGAUCAUGUCUUAGUUGUCCCUUCACUUGACUAUGACUUGUUAUCUGUUCCUCAAAUCAUUGAUUCCCUUAAUUGUACCGUGUAUUUUUGUCUAUUAUAAUGUCUAUUUCAGGAUCUUCACACCAGGAGCCAUGAUUGGAUGUGGUACUAGGAGAGGAAAACUAUAUUAUCUGGACUUGACAAACGACACCGCUAAGAGAUUGAGUCAUGCACAUCAUGUGAGAGGAGGUGAGUCUAUCAGGAUGAAGAAAAUUUGGCUAUGGCAUAGACAAUUAGGUCAUGCCUCAUUUGGUUAUCUGAAACUUCUAUUUCCAAAGUUGUUUUUAUGAGUUUACUAAAUCAGACUUCCAUUGUGAAACUUGCAUUUUGGCGAAAAGUUAUCGUAUUUCUUAUCCAUUGAGGUUGAAUAAAAGUUUUAUGCCUUUCAUGAUUGUCCAUUCUAAUGUUUUGGGACCAUCACGUGUUUCCACAAUUAGUGGUUAUAAGUGGUUUGCGACGUUCAUUGAUGAUUGCACCCGGAUGACCUGGUUUUUUCCUUUAAGACAGAAAAGUGAAGUAAUAGUCAAAUUCAAACUAUUUUAUCAAUAUGUUGCUACUCAAUUUGACAAGAAAAUCAUGACGCUCCGAUCUAACAAUGGAGUAGAGUACGUCAACCAUGAUCUGUAUAAUUUUUUAAGUCAAUAUGGUAUUGUUCAUCACACCACAUGUGCAUAUACACCACAACAGAAUAGGGUCGCUGAGCGUAAGAAUUGACAUCUUCUAGAAGUUGUUCGUGCCUCUUUAUUUGAAGCCCAAAUCUGUAACAUGAAUUAUGAUACUGAGCUAACCAUAUAUAAAACAAACCAUAAUAAAUUAUGAAGCCUAAUAUUUAAUAAAACAAAUAUUAAAGUAUAAAAUUAAAAAAAAUACAUAGAUUUAGAAAAAUAAAAAAAUCAAAGGAAUAAAAAACACCAUUAACAAUGUUUUGUGAGUGUCACCUCCUUUAGUUUAUUGUUAAUUAGACUCAUGAAAUGGAAACAAUUUCUAAUUCAUGAAUUUAGAAAACAAAUUAACCUAAAAAGUUUCAUAAAGAUAUUGUCAUAUAUAUGUUCAUAUAUUAUUAAUCUGAUGAACACCAUUAAUUUAUUCUAAUUAAGAUAAAUUAACAUCUAAAAAGAAGGCUAAACUAGACUCCAAAAAAUCAUGAAAUGGAAACAGUACCUCACAUAAGAAAAAUGCUUCAUGUUUCUCUUUUCCCCGCCUAAAUUGCCAGUCCAGACCCUCUGAACUUUGCCUUUGUAAUCUCAUCAAGUCGCUUAAUCAUCGUAGGCGUCAGACAAGUCUUCGAAUCUCCAACGUUACCUCGCCGGAAGAAUGCAUUGUUGUCCACCUUUGCUUUGGAGCCCAGAUGAAAUGUUCCAGUUUUGUUCACCUCCAGAUUGCUCAAAUUCUCAAGACUACAUAGCUUUAUUAUGUCUUUCACGACACCUUUACUUUUUUCAUCCACCGAGAAGGGACGUUCCAUGAAUUGUGCCAGCUUCUGCACGUAAAAAGCAGUAUCCUUCUUCAGAUCCUCAUACUUGAGAAAAAAUACAUUAUUCGGACGUUCUAAACUUGCGUUCCAGUACUCCGAAUUGUACUCCCAAAAGGGUCCUGAAAGACAAACUCCUUUACAGAAAAGCUCAAACCCUUCUUCCAGAGGCAGGGGUAGCAUGUUCCUUCCAGAUCUUAUUUUAUUGACAAACUUCCACAAGGAGGCCAAAACAUCUUUCGAGUCCCGACAGAUACACACAAUCUUAGAACCUGAAUUUAUGAUGGAUUUCGGCAGUGAAGUGUAAGAGAUAUGUGUGCCAAGUAGCCUAGGUGAGGGAAGAGAAUCUAGGUAUGUAAUUGGGUCAUCUUCAUGAGCUUGCAGCUCAAAAUAGGGAACACACUUAUGAGGGUUUGUAGUGAGUAAAGGGUGAGUUGAAUCAUUGAGGCAACGAUCAUUUCUCUUCUGGAUGGCAAACAUGAGAGCCUUCAGCCAUGUGGUGCCACACUUGGGAAAUGAAGCCAAAAUAAUAUCACUAGAGCGUGCCUGGAAGUUUUCCUGUGCCCAAAGAACUCCAACAGCCCAAACAGGAUCAUACCAAAAUCCUUCAAUCUUGUAAUGCUCAUCCAACCAUCCAUAUUGAUCCUUAGGAAGGGUUGAAAUAAUCUCUUCAUAUUUCUGGGACUGGCUUUUGAUCUGUUGUUGUUGUUGUUGUUGAUCUUCUUCGUAGUGGUUAGUACUGUUUGAAGGUUUUUGAAGAUUAGGAGAGUAAGACAUCAUGUAUUCAAGGAUUCGUAAACAACUUGCUUGAACUAUGAAGCAAGAUUAGUGUUAUAUCUGCUAAUUACUUGGAAAGGAAAAUUGUUAAAAAACAAGGACUUAGCAAAGGGAUAUUAAUGACUCGUAGAUAUAUAUCCAACCUUCUUCUUGGAAUAUUAAUAGUGAAUGAAGGAGAUGGUAUGGUCUUGCAUUUCCUAGAAAGAAUGCAAGUCUACGAGAGAAAUUCGCCAAGAUCCUCAAUCACCUCUACACUCAAAGGAACUGAAACCGCACGGUCAUAUGUAAGUUCAUUUUUCAAGAUUUUUUUUAUCAACAAAUAGUAAAUCUGAUUUUUCCCAACAAGUUAAUUCCAUAAACUCAUAACUCAAAGCAAAAUCCAAAAUGAGUUUUAAUUUAAACUAAUUUUAAAAUUAACCUAGCUAAAUCUUGGUAAUCAAAUGUAUUAAUUAACUUGUGACCUGGUCAAAUUCAAAUCGAGUUAAAAAUAAGAUUCUUUUAAAUUAAAAUAAAAUUGCUUUGAAUAAAAAUAAGAGACUUCGAUUAAUUGAUUAAUUCGAUGGUCCAACAAGUUAAUCCUAUAUAUGACUCAAUGGAUUGAGACCUGGCCGGUCUCGCAAUUAUAUUUAUGAUCAUAUAUACCAACAUCUACAAAGAAAGUUUAAUGCAACAUUUAUUAACCAUUCAGUCAUUGUGGGGGACUUUUCUAGUGAGUAGGUGGCCAGCUGGUUUUGCCGGUAUUCAUAUAAAUAUGACCAGAAAAGACUAAAGACAUGUAGCAAUAUUGUUAGUAAAGGAAUCCUCUCACGAGCCAUGAUUUUUCUGUUCUGAACUUGGAUUUCUUGCUGCAGCUUUGAUAAGAGACAUACCAAUUACCAUGAGUUGUCUUUGUUAUAUAUACAUGAACAAUAACAUGGCCAUGGGAAAAUUUGUGUAGCCAUAGACAGGGGCGGAGUUAGGAUUAUUUGUUAGGGGUGGCCAAAAAUAAUAUAAUAAGAUAUAAUAUUUGUUUAAAUUUAUUGUACAUGAGUUGUAAACAAACCCAGCAUGAUUUAGUUUUAUUCAACUAACUUAUUACAAACAUGUAAUGACCUUUUGUAUAAGGUAAAAGGUUUGGAGCAAUAAUAAAUUGAGUCAAAGCAAUAAAGUUAAUUUUAUUUUUAUGAUGUAUCCAUCGCUUUAAUGUUGUUGGUCUUUAUACCUAUCAAAUAUAAAUAUACAAAGUAUAUAAGAAAUAUUAGCUAAAGCGAAGCAUUAUUUUAUAUUUGAUAAACUUUGAAAUAAAGUAAAAAACAAUAAAGAAUAAUUCUUACAUAUUUAUUUUAAUUGUGCUCGUCGUUUUUUUAUAAAAUAGAAAUAAUUGAUUAUCAUAUCAAUUGUGAAUCUUUUAGCAAUUUCUUUUACUAUAUAGACAAUAAAAUAACUUGCAAGAAAAUCAUCCUCCAUCCGAUUGCGAAAUAUUGUUUUAACAAUCUUCAUCGCUGAGAAAGCUCGUUCAGUAGUUGCUGUCGAAACAAGAAAAGUCAAAAUAAGCCGAAUCAACCUGUCAACUAGUGGAUAAAUAUUUUUCCUUUUUAAAAAAAAAAAUCAAUUCUUCUUAUUUUGUUCAUGGUUCAACCUAAAAUCAAAACAUAUAUCGUGAGAAAAAAUUGAUAAUUUUGAUGGCUCUGCUAAAAACAAAACAUAAAAAAAAAUUCAAAUAUAAUCAAAACAAACCAAUAAAAUAUAUUUAAUUAAUUAGAAAAAAAAUCACUAUCAAGAAUUCAAAAAACAAUUGUUAGAACUAGCAGAUCUGAAAAAAAAAGUAAAAAUAAUAAAAUUAUAAAAAAACCAUCAUCAAAUUCUUAAUAAAUAUCUCAAAACAAAAUAAAAAAUAUAUUUUAAAUUUAAAUUUAUCUUAUUUUGUUUAAUAAAAGAUGAAUUAAUCAAUACUCUAUUUCAAUCUUUUCAUAAAAAAAUUUUGUUUGCAAUUUGUAUCGACCCGCUGCGUUGAAGACAUUUAUAUUAAGGCUGUAGGGAGAGAAAAAAUAGCAAGACACAUUGAUAACUUUACAUUUUUUUUCUUUCCACGUAGGCAUGUUGGUACCAUAAAAUCAAGGCAAAGUCAAAGGAAUUCAAAACUAAAGCAAAGGAUAACAAAUAUAUUUCCUGUAAGAAGGACCCUCUCAUUAAAAAAUGUUACAGCUCCUCACAUUUAAUUACCAAAUAAAUAAAAAAAUCUUGCACGAGCCCGGGCCCCUGCUUGCCACCUUUUCAUUCCGCCCCUGGCCAUAAACACACUUUAUUAUUCAUCACAACGUCUAUGGUUUUGAUAGGAAAAAUUGAUUGCUUUUAAUUCUGGGAUGUUUUGGUCUUUUUAUAAAAUUUAUUUAUUUAUUAUUAAUUUAUUUGGGUUGUUUUUGUCGAUUUAUCUUUUAAUAUAUAGUAAAUACUUCUAGAAUAAAAAUAACUAACAUUGCAACACAAGGUGUUUUGGUGCUUUUACUUUUUAAUUGUUCAUACAAUUACACACUUGUCCUUGAGAUAAAAAAAAAAAAAUAAACCAUUUAAAUAGUGGUAUUUACGUCUUGUCCUCAAGGUUUUUUUGUGGUCAAGUAUUAAUGAAAAUCCAAAUUAUUUUAUAAAAUAAAUUGAGAUUAUGUUAAUAUCCACUUUUAACACGUUGAGUAUAAAUCUUUGACUCGAAACAAAAUAUUAAUUAUAUAAAUUCAUUGGGUUGGAAUUAUUUCCUAACCAAUCUGAAACUAUAGCUCGCCUUCUAGUUGAAUGAAUCAGUUCGACCAAUUCAGGCUGGAAUUUGAGAAGCAGUGCACCUUCUAGUUCCAAUACUACUAAUAAUUUGAAGCUGUGAAAACCAUGCUGAGAUAAGGUAAAAGAACGAUCUGAUACUAAGGAUAACAGAGACCAAGGAUAAGGGAAUCUCAUAUCAGAUUGUACUUCGUCGCAGUUGUUGUGGAUUGAUCAACGCCUGACCCUGCUAAAAUAACCCAUCUCCACCACUUGAAUCAAACUCCAAUUCACUAGUUCAUUAUGGUUUCCUCUGCUUUUUAUCAAGUAAUCCUCUGGGGAAACACUUGGAUACAAAAAACAUUGUUUACAGUAGAAUGGGGGAUCAUUGUAACUUAGUAGAAGCAAUCUUCUUAGGCUUGUAAAUUGUUCAUAGGUAGUACCCGACAUGGAUCUUUGGCAAAUCUCACUUGGAAAAAAGGGAUAUAGCAGGAGAAAUUCUUGCCUUCUGCAUAACUGGUGCUAUGUGAAUUUCAAUAUAUUUAGGGUUAGAAGCCAUUUGGGAAUUACAAGCAUUCCCUGAUCAUUUACAUGAGAGAUGCAGGUCUAUCUGCUUGCAAUGGAUUCAGGGAAUGGUUAGGAUAAUUUAGGGAGUUAGGAUAGUUUGAGAGCAAUUAGAGUUGUAAGGACAUAUUGGAGUCGGUCCUGAAAUCUAAGGACAAAUUCAGCCAACUACCUCGUUUAUCUUGUAUUCAGAUCCUGACGGGCCCUAGCCUGGUAACCCUUGAAAGGAAUGCCACCGGAUUGCUGAAAUUCACCAUCCUUUUGUCAUAGGUCUAUGGAUUGUCAACUUUAUCUUGAUCCGUACUUCAGUCUAUUUCUCACUGAAUUAUUAGGUGUGGUAUGUGCAGUUCACUUGAUGAUGUUUUACAUAGAUAUUCUAGAUAAAUUGGGAAAGAAAAAAAAUCAUCAUAGAAUUUCUGGUCUGUCGAGAAAUAAUAUUCAAGUUCUUGAUUCUGCUUUGUAUUAGGAAGCUGACAGCUACUUUCCUUUGCUUGAUUAUGUAGAGAUUGGAUACAUUUCCAUUAUGAAAACUACUUUCCUUUCCUGCAUUGGCUGACUGCUUCCUUAUCUGGCGCAUCAAUGUCAUGAUGCAUAGUUUAUGAAAGCAUACGAACACUUCUAGUAAAGAAACCAGAUGUUGCAAUUUGAUUAAGUUAUUAUGAUCUGGUAUUGAUGUUUCUGCUUUCAUGCCCCAUGAUUUUCGUGCUCCGAACAUUAUGUUCCUGCCUGACAAAAGAAAUAGCUGUUUUUUUCCCAGUGAUUUAUAUAGUUACUACGAGUUCUCUUCUCAUGCUUCCAUUAGUUACACUGCUUACUGGUUGGCUUAACUAGCUACGAAGGCUAUACAAGGAUAGCCUUCUUUGCUUUCAAUAAAUUAAUUCCUCUGUUUAGCAUGCUCAUGAUUGCCUCAUAAACAGAAUAGCAAGGCAAUGAUUAUUCUUUUUCACAACUAGAUUCCCUUCAGAGAACAUCCAAAUGAAGUGUCUCAUAAAGUAAUUCACAAAAGCUUAAAUCAAAUUACAUCAGUUUCUCUUAACCAAGCUUAGCAAGAACAUCAUUCAGAGAAGAUACAGUCUGAGCAUAGUACUUCUCAGCUUCAGGAGUGCUCUUAAUCUUUGCUGCAUGGUCGAGCUGAAAAGGGAAAAGGGAAAGAGAAAAACUAAUUCCAUUAACAACUGAAAGUGUUUGAUGAUCAAAACAAAUUUAAUCAAAAUAGUGUAUUGCUUACAUUGCUGAUGGUAUCAAAGAGCUUUCCAGUAAGUUCCUUAAGGGAUUUCUUCUCGUCCUUGGACUUAGCAGAGAUAACAGUGUUGAGGUCAAAACGAAGAUAUCCUGCCUUGAGACGAAGGUCAUUUUGGACAUAAGGCCAAGCCUUCUGGUCUAUCAAAGAUUUCACACCAAGAAUGUCCUUUGCUGACUCCUUAGCCCUUACUGCCGCCUCAGCUGGGGGAAGUGGUUGCAAGAAAAACCUCUGUUUCAGUGGCAGAUCAAAGUCUCUUGCUUCAUCAGAGUUCAAUGUCCCAGCUGCCAACACACAAAAUCAUCAUACUUGAAAAACAAUGUCAUAUACCAUUUGUUAGACAUCUGAACUUUCUGUUUAACUUGUUAGACGCUCAGACACCCUCGAUGUUUCGACGUGGGAUGUCUGCCCAAUUGUCAUUGGAAUAAUCUAAUCUUAUUUUCACCAUCUUUUGAAGCAUAAAAUUAAAUUUUCUUUCACCAAAAAUGUUAUUAGCUUAGGGCUAAGCAUGGAUCCGAACUCGAUUCCUGCUCCGAAGCAGGAGAGAGUACCACUAGACUAAAGACCAUUGACAACUACUAAUUCAAGAUUGAAACACUUGGUUUACAAGUAGCAAAAUAGCCUAGGAGGACUAAUUCAUGAACUUACGGAGUCCACCAGAAGGAGGGGGAGGAGGGCCAAGUUUGAUAGGAAGAGCAUCAGCAAGAACAACUUGAACAAAAGAACCAGAAGCCAAACCAGCAGCAACAAGACCCAACAUG